rnacentral:rRNA from 1 species
AGAAUCAACGCUGGCGGCGUGCCUAACACAUGCAAGUCGCACGAGAAAGGGUAGCAAUACCUGAGUAAAGUGGCGCACGGGUGAGUAACACGUGAAUUAUCUACCUCCGAGUGGGGAAUAACUGAGAGAAAUCUUAGCUAAUACCGCAUAACACUUACGAGUCAAAGCAGCAAUGCGCUUGGAGAGGAGUUCGCGGCCGAUUAGUUAGUUGGCGGGGUAAUGGCCCACCAAGACGAUGAUCGGUAUCCGGCCUGAGAGGGCGCACGGACACACUGGAACUGAAACACGGUCCAGACUCCUACGGGAGGCAGCAGUGGGGAAUUUUGCGCAAUGGGGAAACCCUGACGCAGCAACGCCGCGUGGAGGAUGAAAUAUCUUGGUAUGUAAACUCCUUUCGAUGGGGAAGAUUAUGACGGUACCCAUAGAAGAAGCCCGGCUAACUUCGUGCCAGCAGCCGC